AUUGAACGCUGGCGGCAGGCCUAACACAUGCAAGUCGAACGAGUGGCGGACGGGUGAGUAAUGUCUGGGAAACUGCCCGAGGGAGGGGGAUAACUACUGGAAACGGUAGCUAAUACCGCAUACCAUCGGAUGUGCCAAGAUGGGAUGAGCUUGUAGGUGAGGUAACGUCUCACCUAGGCGACGAUCCCUAGCUGGUCUGUGAGGAUGACCAGCGACACUGGAACUGAUACACGGUCCGGACUCCUACGGGGGGCAGCAUUGUGGAAUAGGGCACAAUGGGCGCAAGCCUGAUGCAGCAACGCCGCGGGUAUGAAGAAGGCCUUCGGGUUGUAAAGUACUUUCAGCGGGGAGGCGUUACCCGCAGAAGAAGCACCGGCUAACUCCGUGCCAGCAGCCGCGGUAAUAC
rnacentral:rRNA from 1 species